GUACGGGGGGGGGCAAGCGUUGUUCGGAAUUACUGGGCGUAAAGGGCUCGUAGGUGGCCAACUAAGUCAGACGUGAAAUCCCUCGGCUUAACCGGGGAACUGCGUCUGAUACUGGAUGGCUUGAGUUUGGGAGAGGGACGCGGAAUUCCAGGUGUAGCGGUGAAAUGCGUAGAUAUCUGGAGGAACACCGGUGGCGAAGGCGGCGUCCUGGACCAACACGUCGACACUGAUGAGCGAAAGCCAGGGGAGCAAACCGGGG
rnacentral:rRNA from 1 species